UCUACGGGUGGCAGCAGUGAGGAAUAUUGGUCAAUGGCCGGAAGGCUGAACCAGCCAAGCCGCGUGAAGGACGAAGGUGCCAAGCAUUGUAAACUUCUUUUGUCAAGGGACAAAAUCAGGCUCGAGAGCCUGACCGAGGGUACUUGAAGAAAAAGCAUCGGCUAACUCCGUGCCAGCAGCCGCGGUAAUACGGAGGAUGCGAGCGUUAUCCGGAUUUAUUGGUGUUAAAGUGGUCGUAGGCGGGCUGUUAAGUCAGCGGUAAAAGCCCGGGGCUCCACCCCGGCGAGCCGUUGAAACUGGCUGGAGUGAGAUGUCGAGAGGUAUGCGGAAUGCGCAGUGUAGCGGUGAAAUGCUUAGAUAUUGCGCAGAACUCCGAUUGCGAAGGCAGAAUACCGGCGGCGAUCUGACGCUGAGGCACGAAAGCGUGGGUAUCGAACAGGAUUAGAUACCCCUGUAGUC
rnacentral:rRNA from 1 species